CCUCGCCAAAGUCCUUCCGGAAGUCUAAGUUCGAAGAUGGCGCCGCCUGUCUGGUCGCGGUCUUAUGACGAAAUCUUGUUAGCUGCUCUUCACUGACGCCCCCACCCCAGUGCACAAGAGAUGGGGUCUCGUUAUGUUGACCAGGCUGGUCUUGAACACCUGACCUGAAGUGAUCCUCUUGCCUCAGCCUCCCAUAGUGCUGCGAUCACAGGUGUAAGUCACUGAGUUUGGCCAUUAUUCCAUUUCUGUACACAAAAACCUUUCUCAUUCUGUGCUAUAACUAGUUAGCAUUUAAUUGGGUGGAUGUGGUAUAACUAGUGCCUUGUUGAUAUUGAUGCAUAUUUACAUGGUUUUGCUGUUAUAAACAAUGGUCCCUUGCUAUUAUAAAUCACACUGCUAUAAGUAACCUUGCAUCUAAAUUACUUCAAAUGUGUAACUAUAUGGGUAGGAUAAUUUCUAGAAGUGGAAUUGUGAACCAAAGUUUUAGGUGCAUUUGUAAUUUUGAUUUAUAACCAAUCUUUUCACUGAUCUACUUCUCUGCCUCUAAUUUCUACUAGGUGUUUGUUUGUUUGUUUGUUUGUUUUGAGACAGGGUCUUGCUCUGUCACCCAGGCUGGAGGACAGUGGUGCAAUCACGGCUCACUGCAGCCUCAACCUGCCACCUCAGCCUCCUGAAUAGUUGGGGUGUGUGGCAGGUGUAUACCACCACUUCCAGGUUUUUUUGUUGUUGUUGUUUAAUAGAGAUGAGGUCUUGCUAUAUUGCCCAGGCAGGUCUCACACUACUGAGCGCAAGCGAUCCUCCUGCCUAUGCCUCCCAAAGUGCUGGGAUUACAGGUGUGAGUUGCCAUGCCUGGCCCGGUUAUCUUUCUAAAGCAUAAAGCAACCCUGUUGAUCCUCUGCUUAAUUUUGAUGAUUAAGUAGUAUGUUCAAAAUAUAGAAAUCCAUGUAUUGAUAAUGAUCUUUUAAAAAAAGUAAAAGCCAAAAUAUCAGCUACUCAUCCUACACCAUUGAAAGUAGUGACCAUUAAACUGCUCUACCUCUACCUCCACCUCUCUACCUCUCUACCUCUCUACCUCUACCUCUACCCACGGUCUCCCUCUCUUUCCAUGGUCUCCCUCUCAUGUGGAGCCGAAGCUGGACUGUACUGCUGCCAUCUCGGCUCACUGCAACCUCCCUGCCUGAUUCUCCUGCCUCAGCCUGCCGAGUGCCUGCGAUUGCAGGCACGCGCUGCCACGCCUGACUGGUUUUGGUGGAGACGGGGUUUCGCUGUGUUGGCCGGGCCGGUCUCCAGCCCCUAACCGCGAGUGAUCCGCCAGCCUCGGCCUCCCGAGGUGCCGGGAUUGCAGACGGAGUCUCGUUCACUCAGUGCUCAAUGGUGCCCAGGCUGGAGUGCAGUGGCGUGAUCUCGGCUCGCUACAACCUACACCUCCCAGCCGCCUGCCUUGGCCUCCCAAAGUGCCGAGAUUGCAGCCUCUGCCCAGCCGCCACCCCGUCUGGGAAGUGAGGAGUGUCUCUGCCUGGCCGCCCAUCGUCUGGGAUGUGAGGAGCCCCUCUGCCUGGCUGCCCAGUCUGGAAAGUGAGGAGCGUCUCCGCCCGGCCGCCAUCCCAUCUAGGAAGUGAGGAGUGCCUCUUCCCAGCCGCCAUCACAUCUAGGAAGUGAGGAGCGUCUCUGCCCGGCCGCCCAUCGUCUGAGAUGUGGGGAGCGCCUCUGCCCCGCCGCCCCAUCUGGGAUGUGAGGAGCGCCUCUGCCCGGCCGCGACCCCGUCUGGGAGGUGCAUGCCUUCCUUAUUUCUCAUACUCAUCACCUCCUCUUCCCGCUUGGAACUGCCCACACUGGUGAUUUCCUUGUU
rnacentral:lncRNA from 1 species